AGCGAACGCUGGCGGCAGGCCUAACACAUGCAAGUCGAACGAAGUCUUCGGACUUAGUGGCGGACGGGUGAGUAACACGUGGGAACGUGCCUUUAGGUUCGGAAUAACUCAGGGAAACUUGUGCUAAUACCGAAUGUGCCCUUCGGGGGAAAGAUUUAUCGCCUUUAGAGCGGCCCGCGUCUGAUUAGCUAGUUGGUGAGGUAAAGGCUCACCAAGGCUACGAUCAGUAGCCGGUCUGAGAGGAUGACCAGCCACAUUGGGACUGAGACACGGCCCAAACUCAUACGGGAGGGAGCAGUGGGGAAUCUUGCGAAAUGGGCGAAAGCCUGACGCAGCCAUGCCGCGUGGAUGAUGAAGGUCUUAGGAUUGUAAAAUCCUUUCACCGGUGAAGAUAAUGACUGUAGCCGGAGAAGAAGCCCCGGCUAACUUCGUGCCAGCCGCCGCCGUAACAC
rnacentral:rRNA from 1 species